AUUGAACGCUGGCGGCAUGCCUUACACAUGCAAGUCGAACGGCAGCACGGGUGCUUGCACCUGGUGGCGAGUGGCGAACGGGUGAGUAAUACUUCGGAACAUGUCCUGUAGUGGGGGAUAGCCCGGCGAAAGCCGGAUUAAUACCGCAUACGAUCCACGGAUGAAAGCGGGGGACCUUCGGGCCUCGCGCUAUAGGGUUGGCCGAUGGCUGAUUAGCUAGUUGGUGGGGUAAAGGCCUACCAAGGCGACGAUCAGUAGCUGGUCUGAGAGGACGACCAGCCACACUGGGACUGAGACACGGCCCAGACUCCUACGGGAGGCAGCAGUGGGGAAUUUUGGACAAUGGGCGAAAGCCUGAUCCAGCAAUGCCGCGUGUGUGAAGAAGGCCUUCGGGUUGUAAAGCACUUUUGUCCGGAAAGAAAUCCUUGACUCUAAUACAGUCGGGGGAUGACGGUACCGGAAGAAUAAGCACCGGCUAACUACGUG
rnacentral:rRNA from 1 species